UACGGAGGGUCCGAGCGUUAUCCGGAAUUAUUGGGUUUAAAGGGUCCGUAGGCUGGCUAUUAAGUCAGAGGUGAAAGUUUGCAGCUCAACUGUAAAAUUGCCUUUGAUACUGGUAGUCUUGAGUUAUAGUGAAGUAGCUGGAAUAUGUAGUGUAGCGGUGAAAUGCAUAGAUAUUACAUAGAACACCUAUUGCGAAGGCAGGUUACUAACUAUUAACUGACGCUGAUGGACGAAAGCGUGGGUAGCGAACAGG
rnacentral:rRNA from 1 species